rnacentral:rRNA from 1 species
CAAUAGCGUAUAUUAAAGUUGUUGCAGUUAAAAAGCUCGUAGUUGGAUUUCUGGUAGGAGCGACCGUGCCGAACUUGAUUGUUCGAGUAUUGUGUUGUCUUCAGCCAUCCUCGUGGAGAGCUUUUCUAACAUUAACUUGUUGGGAUUGGGACCCGCGUCGUUUACUGUGAAAAAAUUAGAGUGUUUAAAGCAGGCAUUAGCUUGAAUACAUUAGCAUGGAAUAAUAAGAUAGGACUUUGGUACUAUUUUGUUGGUUUGCAUACCAAAUUAAUGAUCAACAGGAACAGUUUGAGGAUAUUCGUAUGAACAUGUCAGAGGUGAAAUUCUUGGAUUUUGAUCAGACGAACUACUGCGAAAGCAUUUAUCAAGGAUGUUUUCAUUAA